rnacentral:rRNA from 1 species
CUUACGGGAGGCAGCAGUGGGGAAUCUUGGACAAUGGGCGCAAGCGGAUCCAGCCAAUGCGUGGGUGAAGAAGGCCUUCGGGUUGUAAAGCCCUUUCGGUGGGGAAGAAAUCGGCCGGGCGAAUAGUUCGGCUGGAUGACGGUACCCGCAUAAGAAGCACCGGCUGACUACGUGCCAGCAGCCGCGG